UUGACAAACGAGAGACUUUGGCGGUUUUGUUGUGAAUCUUCAAUAAGAAUAAGUAAAACAAUAAAACAUGCCUCCAAAACGAAAAAACGGAGCUGGCGACUCGAAAUCACAAUCCAAGAAAAGGAAGAAGGCAGCUGAGGCGGAUUCUGAUGACUCUGAUAUCGAAACUGAGGGAAAUGGAGGGACGUUUGAUUACGAGAACAAUGAAACGUCUGAUGUUGACAUUCUACUUGAAGGUUCUAUGCUGGGAGGGGAACUGCUCAUUUGUGGUGGUACCAACUGGGAUCUUAUUGGACGCAAAUCAAUUCCAAAAGGAAUGAAAAAUCGUGGUGGACCGAAUCUGUGGGCACCACAUCGUAUUGGCCCCACCAAGGACAUCAAGAUGCGAACAGUUGUGUCAAACUGUGUGUCCUGUCACAGUGUCGCAAUAUCAUCGGAAGGAAAAGUCUACACGUGGGGGCGAAAUGACAAGGGCCAGCUUGGUCUGGAAAAUACUGAUAGAAUGGACGUCCCAAGCCUGGUGGAAGGUCUUAGUGGGAUGAACGUUGUCGACGCAGCCUGUGGACGAAAUCACACCUUGUUCUUAACAGACCGAGGAAAAGUGUUUGCCUGUGGUGAUAACAAAAUGGGUCAGCUAGGCUUAGGUCAUCAGAGUCCAUUUGUGGCAACCCCAACCAGAGUACACUACAAAGGUCCUCCAAUCCGGAAAGUGCGAUGUGGUGGUGAGUUUAGCACAAUGUCUGAUAUCCGUGGCAACAUGUACACAUUUGGAUGUCCAGAAUACGGACAACUAGGUCACAAUACUGAUGGUAAAUUCUUUGUGACGAGUAACAAGCUAUCCUUCAAGUGUGAACUGGUUCCCCGGAAGGUGAAUGUGUGGAUUGAGAAGACUCGAGACAAUCAUGUGGUUCCGGUAACCGACGUUGAAGUGCGCGACAUUGCGUGUGGAAACAACCAUGUGUUGGUGUUAGACUCAAGGAAGCGGGUUUUCAGCUGGGGAUUCGGUGGAUAUGGACGUCUGGGCCAUGCUGCACCUAAAGAUGAAUUGGUUCCUCGCCUACUGAAGAACUUCGAAGGACCGAACAGAGGAGCCAUUCAAAUACACGCUGGGUCUGCAUUCAGCCUGGCCGUCUCCGAAAUGGGUGCCCUGUUUUUGUGGGGUCAGACCAAGUCAACUGGGGAGGCGGCCAUGUAUCCCAAGUUGGUGCAUGAUCUGCAAGGCUGGAAAGUGCGCAGUGUAGGAUGUUGCAAUAGAAGCAUUGUGGUGGCUGCAGACGAGAGCACUGUUAGCUGGGGUCCCAGUCCAACGUACGGUGAACUAGGCUAUGGUGAGAAUAAGCCUCAUUCGUCAACUGUUCCGCAGGAGGUGAAGCCUCUCAGUGGCAUUUACAUUCAGAGCAUAUCAUGCGGCUUUGCACACACAUUACUGAUCGCGCGGAACGACACAGAGGCCGAGCAGGAGAAGAUCAACGAGUUACCCGUCUUUAAUCCAUGAUCUCAUUCCUGUGGUGUCAGUAGAUAGUUUUCAUGUACGUCUUUACUCGACAAAACCAUCGUGCAUUGUAUUACCUCAUAAACGCCAAAUUUCAUCGUCAUCAAAUUUAAGGUUGGGUGGUCCGUGUUCAGUUUUUCAUAUUUCUUUUCAACAUCACCUGUCCUCAUAACUAGUGUAUAUUCCCUACAGUUAGUAGACUGGUCCGAACAUCCCAACAGCCAAUGGGAUGGCUUAACUUCUUCUACUGUGUACCCCUUCCUGUUCCAGUUACGUGACUGUAACUUCCUUGUUUUUCCUUCACGUCUUACGGUUCGUACGUUCUUAUUUUCGCUUCAUCGUAAUCUGAGCCAUUUGGUUAUUUUACUAUGGUUAUUGUGACAAUUAUGUCUGUAACACAUUCUACAAUGUUGUUACUUUAUUACUGUACAAUUAUUUUGGUUGUAAUCACUUUCUUUAAAGUGUUGUGUGAAAAUUUUCAUUUUCCUGUGUGCCGGUCAAGAUCUAUGGUCGCCAUUUUUAAAAUGGUCGCUUCUUGUUUACCGGAAUUGUACAAACUUAUGUAUUUGAUUUUUCAUUACAGUUCUUCUCGUGUGGUGCGUUCUUGUAACAAAUGCAGGAAAUUCAUGGCACGAUAUCUGUCCUGGCUGCAAAUCACCAUAUGACUUAAGAGUCUCACUGUCUCUUGUGUUACCUUGGGGCCAACAGACUUGAGGCAUAACUCACGGUCCUUGCCCAGCGGGCCAAGAAAGUUGAGAUGGUUUCUGCUUCAUCUCCUCCUCAACCGUCUAUCAUCUAGUCAGUUGGUGCAGUUUUGAAGACUUGCUGCCUAGUAUGAUAGACCAUUGCAGUCACUACUGAGUCCGGUCCAGUGGUUACGGUUUCUGCUGAUGUGACGAUUCCUGUCUCGGCUCCAGCUACGGCUACAGCUCAAGCUACGGUAUUCACGGCCUCCGUACCUACAGGUGACACGGGUUCCAGGCCAGUCCAUGGGGACUUGCCAGCCUUGACUUGGAAGUCAACGUUUUCCAGAUUCAUAGCAGAACCUCUACGGAUCACCGGAGUCGGGAACAGAGUUGAUCCUCACAGAUAAUGGCUAGUUCCAACCGAUGUCACCGUUCCAGAAGUUUGGAGAAUCAAAUGUCACAGACUUCUACCGGUCCCAUUGCAACCGUUCACGGUCUCCUUGGCCUUCCAGUAUCGGCGAUCGACAUGCCUGUGCGAAAUUGUUACGUGAUAUCCUGAUGAUACAGUGGACCGGAUGACAAUGAAAGAUUGUCUUGCUAUCUGUUUUCUGCAGAUCAGCAACCACUUACAGCUUCCGUCACGGCACUUGCUGCAACCGUGUCUACAGGCGAUACGGUACCCGUGAAUCACGGGUCUCGUGUGACUGGACUGAGACGAUCAUCUCACAGGCGGCUGACGGUCCUGUCAGGACUGCGUUCCGGAUCAUCACGACUAUUCAGCGCAAUUGUUCAGCAUGUCUGUGCACUGUUUCCAUGUGCCGCUUCCAUGGAGCUGACGGGACCAUCCAUGAUUCAAUUCGCCUCGGCCCUGCAGCAUUGACUCACUUGUUCCUGGCUUCUAAGGAUUUUUGUUUUGGUUUCCUUUAUGACAUUCUUAACCAACGGUCAUCAAGACAACUUAUGACAGCAUACCUUUUCAGCUAUAAUGCUGUCACGAUUCCGGGACUUCAGGCCACUGUUAUUUCGUGUGACCCUACUCUGUAGCUUACAGGGGAUCCGAUGAACGGCACUGAUGGUAGACUCUGGUAAUUGGUCUACGGCGACUUCCACUCAGCAAUCAGUUCAAGAUAGAAGUCGACAGUUCUCAACCUAUCAUAGCGAGAAUGCAGCUGUCACUGGUAACCCUCUCCACGUUCAUCUGCGGGUCAGUCGUCCAUGAUGUUACUCAUCAACUGUUGAUCGUCAGUUCAUCACUGUCGCUGUUAAGGUGGAAGGAAGUUAUCUUUACUUCCCACCUUCGGAUCGGUUUGCAACUCCAGCUACAGUUCAGUUACAGCUUUCGGUUACCAUAUCAACUCAGCAAGUUGCGGUAAACCUAGCUACACGGUCUUCGACAUGCCGGCGUUUGCGGGAAUGAAAAUUACAGGUGUUACGGUUUGGGACUGACGACAGUACACUGGGCCAGUCAACUUUUGAUGCUGAUUUGGAACCCCAUGCAGAAUACUUUGGACUGUUCCACUAUUCAUCUGUUGAUCAGUGACGUUGAAGAUAUUUGGUGAAUCGAUCACUGCAUCCAUUGGUGCCCAGAAGUUUGCAACUUGAUUGUCACUUUUGUUGUCUCCAGAAGUUGUCAGCGCUAGAUCCGUUGAGUUUCCACUUGGACAGCUGCCUCCUGGAAUUUCAACGGAUCGGUACAUUGGCGGCCGGCAACAAUCACUAGUUGACGUCAUGCGGCUUCGGGGUUUUACCGCAUCCAUUUUUUUACGGUCUAUUGCAGAUUAUCAAACCAUUGUCAGCGUUCAUGUACGAUACAGAGAAGAUCGUCUUUUUGCUGCUUGCCUAGUAUCAGUCAUUGGGACUGUCCUGGAUACCAACCAUCCUGGAUACCAACCGUACGAUAUUUGCUUCCACUGUCAGAUUCCUACCGGUCCUUGGGGAGAUGACUUGUGCAUCUUCGGAGUACGGAACCCUCCACCAUCUGUCAAAUGCUGCACUAAUUAUGAGGACAGGUGAUGUAUCUAUAAAAGAGAAAACACUUUUCUCCAAUUUUGUUGGUGGCCGACUGUUUCAGUAGCAGACUAAUGUUUUUACUGGGGUGCGACCUGCAUCCCUCGUUGGAAUAAAUAGCACUUCAUCUCCGACACUGGUUCGUUUCGGUGUGAUUUUGACUCAAGGGUUUUUCAAAAACGAAAGUCAGAAAUAGGGAACUAUUGCCUGAUGGGCUAAUUAUAGCACCCCCAGUUUUGUUAGGACACAAUAAUUUAAAGAAAUAAACGAAACCUGGUGCCAUACAGCAAGGCAUUGUUCUUAUUCACUUUCCCAUACAGGAUUAUUAGUAGUAUAUUAGUUUUAUGACCACAGUAUAAAACUCUUAAAAAUCCUUUACAAAACCAAAACAGUCGCAAAAAGUAAUCUUUUAACAAGUCAUGGAGUUUAGUUGACAACAAAUUGUGUGAACCUUGCUUACUGAAAGCCCUCUUUCAUAAUACUCAUAACCAUUAAUAAAAACAGUUACUGUUGUGGGACAUUCAAGCUUACUAAACUGUGCAUUAUAUCUGGAAAUGAUUUGUAACAUGAUCUUGUGUUUCAGGAGUUGUGUACAUUAUGAUGGAUAAUUUUAAUAUAGCAAGUACAAAAAGAAAUUUUGAAAAGCAGUGUUGUUGCUCCAUAAAAAAGCAUUAUUGAAUAAAUUUGAUUGUGUUGUUUAAUUGUGGGACCAAACAAGACCAAUGUGAAAUGUGCUAGCUGAAUUAUUAUGAAGCAGAUUCACCGACCGACAGUGAGAACUGGGUGAUUGUGCUGUAAACUGUAAUGCUAGUAAAAUGCUCUUUUAGCUUUUAAUUGGCAUCUGUGUAAACUGGCACAAUUUGAAAGUCAUGUCCAAUGACAGUAUUUUGGGUGAAAUGGCUCGAAUCCAACACCCUGUGUAUUUCCGCACCCUUCGUAGGUUCCUCUUUCCAUUCAGACAAGAGUCCACUGUAUAUUUGGAAUUAUGAAAUAAUGCGGAUUCAGUGAAAAAAGCUAAUAGAAUGUUCCAGUCUGAAGUUAUUUGCAUGAUAAUCACUGUUCUGUUUGUAUAUAUGUCAUCCUUUUAACUAUCAAAUACUUUCUUAUUGUUUUUCCAAGUGAAUAUUAAAUAUUAACUGUUGUAUUAGGUGCCUUUUUUAGUGGAAAAGUGAAUGUCAUUUUAUUAAGACGUAUUUCUAAUAUCAUUUUGCAUUGUGUAUUUUUGAGGGUUUACCAUCCAUACUGGUUUUGAAUACAUCACUGUGACCGCUUACUAAACCUGAAACUGUCUGUAACAGCAGCUGAAUGAAAUCAAAACCAAUAGUGUUACGGUUUGUCAUCUUUCACAAACAUAUUUACUGUAGCAGUAAAUUCUAGCAGUAGCAACAUUACUUUUGAUAUAGGUGUUGAUUUGUUCAGCAUAUCAGUGUUGGGAACGACUAGCUGAAAGUGUUUUACAGAUGGCAGUGAUGUGAUCUUAUUUCAUGUCUUGUUACGCGGGACAUUUUGCUUUGUAAACAAAAAGUUUAUUUUGUUUAACAACGCUACUAGAGCACAUCAGCUAUUGGAUGUCGGACAUUUGGUAAUCCUGACAGUCUCAGAGGAAACCUGCUAUAUUUUCCCGUUAAAAGCAAGGGGUCUCUUGUAUGCACUUUCCUACAGACAGGACAGUACAUACCAUGAUCAGUUGUAGGGCACUGGUUGAAAUGAGGAAAACCCAGUCAGGGAGGUGAGCAGGUCAUCCUAGGACCCCAGCACCUCACAAGCUGUACUGACAGCUAGAUCCUCCUUGUCUCUCGUAUUGUAACAUUUAACGACAUCACUAGAGUGCAUUGAUUUAUCCGACUGACAGGAUAGCAAAUACUACAGCCUUUGAUAUACCAGUUGUGGUGCACUGGCUGGAACGAGAAAUAGCCCAAUUUCACCAAUUGAUCCCAAGUUGACCGCAUAUCAAGCAAGCACUUGACCACUGGGUUACAUCCCGCCCUUGCAUUGUAACAAAUGCUGUUGUAUAAAUGUAAAAGUUUGCUGGUUUUGACUUUUAUUCACAACUUAAUUUUCUUUCUUUUUAUUUUAUUAAGUUAAUGAUAUUAUUCCUCCCCAAUGCAGAUUUUGAUAAAAAAGUUACAUUGACAGAGUUAACCAAUCCUAAUAUGUGUACCUGUAUCCCAACGUGUGGGACCUCAAGAACUGGGAGGUUUUGCAAGAUCGAAUAUUUAAAAAAUAGUUAUUAAAAUGGUGUUCAGAUUAUUUUUAAACUGUACAGUUUUCCCACAUUUUCCUUAAAUACAGAAGCAAAGAUUUAAAAUAGUACAUGUAUCUUGAUGAGGAUAAUGUAUUUUACUUUGUGUUACAAAUUAUUUUAUAGAAAUAGACUUGGGUAUAAUGCAGCAUAAUACAUGCUUUGUUCUAACAUACCAUUGCAUCAUCAACUGGGUUCAUAUAUUCGAAACUCUCAGCACUACGAUAUCAUAAAACCGUCAUAAGUUAUGGCUAGUAUAGUAAUGAAGACGUAUCUUAUAACGGUUUUACAAUAUUGUAGUGGAAAGAUAGCUUUAAAAAAAAAUGUAUCCAGGCUGGUAGCUAGUUGAUUUGCAUCCCAGUACUAGCUAAAACCCUGAGUGAGUUUUCACAGCUCAGUGGGGAGGUGUACGGCCAUGACGACCAUUUCUCCACCAGUAACUAACCAAUGACCCCUGGACAGAUAGCCAUUAUAAGCCCACCAAUAACUAACCAAUGAUCCCCGGACAGAUAGCACAGUUAUAAGCCUACCAAUAACUAACCAAUGAUCCCCGGACGGAUAGCCCAGUUGUAAGCUCACCAAUAAUCAACCAAUGAUCAACCAAUGAUCCCCGGACAGAUAGCCGUUAUAAGCCUACCAAUAAUUAACUAAUGAUUCCCAGACAGAUAGCACAUUUGUACGCCCACCAAUAACCAACCAAUGAUCCCGGACAGAUAGCACAGUUGUAAGCCCACCAAUAACCAACCAAUAACCAACCAAUGAUCCCGGACAGAUAGCAGUUGUAAGCCCACUAAUAACUAACCAAUGAUCCCCGGACAGAUAGCACAUUUGUACGCCCACCAAUAACCAACCAAUGAUCCCGGACAGAUAGCAGUUGUAAGCCCACUAAUAACUAACCAAUGAUCCCCGGACAGAUAGCACAGUUGUAAGCCCACCAUUAACCAACCAAUGAUCCCAGGACGAAUAGCCCAGUUGUAAGCCCACUAAUAAUCAACCAAUGAUCCCCGGACAGAUAGCACAGUUGUAAGCCCAGCAAUAACCAACCAAUGAUCCCCGGACGGAUAGCCCAGUUGUAAGCCCACUAAUAAUCGACCAAUGAUCCCCGGACAGAUAGCCGUUAUAAGCCCACCAAUAACUAAUGAUCCCCAGACAGAUAGCACAUUUGUAAGCCCACCAAUAACCAACCAAUGAUCCCCGGACAGACAGAUAGCAGUUGUAAGCCCACUAAUAACUAACCAAUGAUCCGCAGACAGAUAGCACAGUUGUAAGCCCACCAAUAAUUAACUAAUGAUCCCCAGACAGAUAGCACAUUUGUAAGCCCACCAAUAACUAACUAAUGAUCCCCGGACAGAUAGCAGCCCACUAAUAACUAACCAAUGAUCCCCGGACAGAUAGCACAGUUAUAAGCCCACCAAUAAAUAACCAAUGAUCCCCGGACGGAUAGCCCAGUUGUAAACCCACCAAUAAUCAACCAAUGAUCCCCGGACAGAUAGCCGUUAUAAGCACAUCAAUAACUAACUAAUGAUCCCCGGACAGAUAGCACUGUUGUAAGCCCACUAAUAACUAACCAAUGAUCCCCGGACAGAUAGCACAUUUGUAAGCCCAGCACAGCUUUACUGUAAGCAAGCAAGCAUGCAUUGAAUUGUUGAGCACUACGGUGAGGAAGACCAACAGGUAUAUAUUUUUAUGUUUAGCCAUCAGAAUGUUUGAAUAUCGUACACACGCAGUCGCUAAUCUAGGUCACAAAACUGUAUAAAUAUGCUACUAACACCGGAAUCCGGCUCCUCUGUUUAGUGUAACAGUAUGUUUGUGUUUUCUACAGCUGAGACUCGUUUUAUCAAGACUGUUAUCUAUGCAUGUUAGUAACGGUAGUAAAACAGUAGUAAAAACAAUCUAGUGAGGCAGUUGUUUUUACUCUGCUUUAGGAAACGAUGUGCAAUGGGCAGGAAAGAGCAGAUGUAAGUAACAUCCUGUAGUGAAAUAAUUAAGAAUAUUUCAAUAUGGACAAUUCAGAUAUUAUAUAAGGCUAUUUUAGUCAAAAUUAGAGAUGUCUCCCUCCUUUAUGGGUUGGAACAUGCACCCUCCACAAGAAAUAUGUAACACUCAUUACAGCAUUUCAUCUUGAUUUAUAAUUGUUUUGUGUGUAUACAUUAAGCUAUAACAAGCUAUUUCGGUGUCCCUCAACUCCUGAGCAUUACUUAACUCUUGAAUGGUCUCUAUACUGUUUGUAUUCAAUUUAGAUUCAAGAAAGACGAUGCAGUAGUUUGCAUAUCAAAAUAAACCAGUCUACAGAGUCUAGUCCCAAUGAAAUCGGACCUCACACAAGAAAGAUAAACUUUACUACGUGUAUAUGGAUGUAAAAUAAUCAAUUAGUGUUUUUGUUCAUUUUAGUAUUAUUCUGUUCAUGUUAGACUAUAAUUCAUUAGUGCACAUAAUUUCUCUUUGGUGUUUUAACAUGACUUAUAUACUACAUGUAAGUACUGUUUGUAUUCGAUGUUCGAAUAUACCAAAUGUACUAGAUGCAAUUGUUUGCAAUAAAGUUUGGUGCAUUGUA
rnacentral:misc_RNA from 1 species